GCACUGCUGAGGAGUCCCAUAAUAGGACGAAACAAUCGUCAAGCCGUGC
rfam:Schistosoma rodhaini strain Burundi genome assembly, scaffold: SROB_scaffold0000248